rnacentral:miRNA from 7 species
CUCUCUGCCCAACUCUCCAGUCUGUCCAGUUCCUGUUGAAUGGUAACACAGCCUU